GCCCAUGGUGAUGGGGGAGGUUCCUUAAAGCUAAUGAGCUGCUAAUGAAUGGAGCUGAUUAACUGUUGCUCUCACCUGCAAAUGCAGUAGUAGUGUCUGUGUGUGAUGUUAGCUGGCUGUUGCACCUCUUUGGAGAACCUCUAGUAUUACCUCUUGCCAAAGAUGUUAUAAACUUCAUAAACUUGUUUCUCCCUGCAGUUCCAGCAAGGAGUGGUGAUGGAGCUUUGCCCUGCUGCUGCCUGAUGCAAUGAGCAGCCCUGGGAGUCCUGUCCCAGCCCCUGGGAACAGGUCCCUUCUUCCUCCUCCUGGAGACACCAGGGACGUCCUGCUUCCUUCUGUCUGCACGAGCCCCAGACUGCACGAAGAGAUGGUGUACAGAAACUGGUGCUUCCAGAGCCCAGCUCAUUUGAAUUCAAGAUAUCUGCCUUGGGAUGGCCUCGUGCUUCUCUGGCAGGAUUGUCUGAGCAUCUCAGCGGUGUUUUGCGUUACCUUUGAUGUGCCUCACGUGCUGAGUGCCUCCCAGAGAGCAGUGGGGGAAGCUUCAAGAACGGUGUUCAGUAUGCACAAAGGCUGUCUCUGGAGAAGUUUAUCUUCUUGGAAAAAGAGAAGGGAGGAAAACACCAAAAAAAAUGGGUGUCCCUGGGCAUUGCAGGUGGAGCUGAAAGUUACGGCUCAGCCUUUGCCUCCUGCCUGGGGUCCGGUCCCAGCUGUUUGACCAAGGAGGCGGCUGAUCCCCUGCUCUUGCACAAGGUAAAGUCCAGACUCUGUCAAUGAGAUGCCAAGAGAAACCAGCCGCUGCCCCAGCUCAUGGUCCUGUGCAGGGAGGAACAGCUUUUUCUUGCUGGGUGUGAGGGUAACGAGGACUGGGGUGCUCGGGAGACUCCAGCCCCUGUUUGGGCUCAUUCUCCAUGCAGCUGGCACUCCCUGAAGAGGAACACGUGACUGCGGAGCUGACUGCUAAAACGUAUCCCGCUGCGAAGCAUUACACAGAUUUGCAUAUAGUUCUUCAUCAGAAUUGAGACAUAUUUGUUUAAUUAGCACUGCUGUAACACAGGCUGGGCUGGAAGAGGUUCAGGUGAGCAGGCAGCUUGACCCCAGACAUGUCAGGAGAACAGGACACAGCCAUAGGGACGACAUCGCAGGGUUCCCCAUGUGGCAUCGAGCCGCACAGUCAGCUCUCAGUGUGGCAGCAGGUAAAGCUGCAAAGCACAGGCCCCUGCUUGGAGAAAAGUGGGGAACCAAAUGGGGCUGAGGCAUCCUCCUGGGCAGCCAGAGGAUAUGGGUGCUUCGCUUUGGUGCUGCCUACGGCAGAGCAGGGCAGCUAGCUCACCUUGCCCUGAGGUUUUCCAGCAAAGAGACAAGGCAUGGCCCGCGAGCUCGGUGAUGGAUAGGGCAUCAUUAAAUGGGACAUGGGCCUGUCGCUAUCUUGCUUUUCGGCACCACAGAGGGGUCUCCGUGCCCUCAGCUGGUGCCAGGCAGCACGGCAGAGGGCAGGCUUUGGCACCGGCAUCCUCAGCCACACAGCCUGCGUCGGGCAGGCAGAUUGAUAGGUGUCUGGCGGAAAAUGUCCCGCUGAUAGCCCGAGAACAAAACGCAAACAGGGAGAAAUGACAGCUGCUCCUGUAGCUGUUCCAUCAUCGCUGCCGAUAGCAGCGUGGCGCCUGCAGCUCCACGAUUGAUGCAUCCCUGGGGACGCCGGGAGCGCGGAUGCCACAAUCAGGGAGGAUAAAAGAAUCGCUGCUGGGACCCAGAGGAGGCUUCGGAUCCUUAUCGGGAACAAGAAGGACAUCAAUCUGGUGCCAGCACGGGCCUGUCAGACACAGCCCGCACACUCAGCAGCUGGUCCAGAAGCACUGGCAGGACACAGACCUUGCAGUGGUGUGGAGCAGCUACUAAUGCCAUGUAAAGAACCCUAAGUAGUUUAAACCAAAGCCUGGUAGCAGUUCUCAACUGCAUCUUGAGGAAAUUGCAUCGUGACCAUUUAAAUCUCCACUGCUGCUGCCCUCUGGAGAGCACAGGCAAUAUUUCUCUCUCCCCUGGAACAACGUCGGCGGUCCCUUGGACUUUUUUUUGCGCUCACCCUUCAGCUGAUGUAGGGUCACUUAGCAGGCGAGGAGCUGUUUGGGAGCCAGCCUCCCCUGUGCUCAGAGCACACAACUCACCCUCCAUGCCCCUGACUGGUGGCCCCAUCACUCCUGGCGGCUGCCAGCGCUGUUCCCCACCAGCUCCAUGCACCGGGGACCACGGUGCUGCUGUCACCCACGCUUUUCCUGCUGGAGAGCUGCAGCAGGAGCGUGGGGCAGCAGGAAGCCGGUGCCCAGGCACGCAGGAGAGGUGCCUGCAUGGGAUCUGGGCAAGGCUGUCUGAAGGUGCCCUCCGUGCCUGCUCCCCACUUGUGCUCAUCAGCUGUAACUCCUGGCAGGAGAGCUCCAUCUGAGAGCAGGCCGGGAGCCAUGGGCAGGUAAUUGCUAAAGCAAGCAGGGCCGCAUUAAUUGAGGUGACGGCAGCCAGCAAUGUGCUCUCAGUUAAGCCUUGGCUCUGCCGCAGCCAGUGGGCAGGCACCGUGUGUAUCUGCCAUCCCCUCCCGUGCUGUGCCCUGCUGUCAGCUCUGUGGCCUGGAGACACGCUCCUCGCUGACCACCCCUGCCCUGCGUGGUGCGAGGCAGUGUCUCGGAGACCCCCGUGCCAUGGGGGACCCGUGCCGGGGAGCAGGGAGGGGUGGGAUGUGGCUGUUAUGGCAACAGAGGCUCCAGAGAUGAAUGGAAGGAAAAAGGCAUGCUUUAAAGCAUGUUUCCAUGGCAACAACCAUCUUCAAAGCCCUGGAUGAGAAAAAAAAAAAAAAAUGUAAAAAGAGGAGGAUUCCAUAGAGGGGGCACUUCUGCGGUGCUGGGGGAGUCAGACUGGGAGCAUGGGGCCCCCUGGGAGGGGACGGGAGCUGCCAGAGAGGGGCGAGAAGAGCUGUGGGGGUCAGGGCUGGUGUGCUGCUCCCUUUCUCACCCACAUUUUGGUUUUGCUGCUGGGGCUGUGCUCCGUAAACCACAGGCUCCAUCCCGCACGUCGCAGAACUCACAUUUGGCCACAACCACCACCCUCACGGCCACAUCACUCCCACCACAUCAUUUUGGAUUGUCCUAGCCCCCAGGUGAAUUCUCUUUUUGCUCACCCAGCCCUGCUCACUGUCCCAAAAGCCCAGCUCUGCCAUCACAACCUGCUCCCCACACUGGGGCAUAGCUGGCAGCCCUCUCGCUGCCCAUAGCCCGCAUGCUGAUAACCACAGGUGGACCAAAGCCACUGCUUCGGUCAGGGGAAAUUUUAUUUGGCCAGAUAUCGGGGCGGUGGGAGGAAAUCUCCAGGGCCUCACCUGGAGCCAGGUUUCAGCAGCCACAGGGGGUGAAGCCUGACCUAAAUUCGGCAGCAAGGUUUGUUGCAGUGGAUGGGGGGGGAACAAACCUUGAAAGGGGGAAGCUUGGAUUGAAUUAGAUCUGGAUCGAAUCACAGCUGUUUCCUCUGUGUUUCUUUAAUUGGAAGUUCAGAUUCAGCUUAUUGUUCCCAGCUCUGUCGUUUUCAGUUUCCGAUGUGCCGCAGGAUUUGCUAUCUCAAUCAGCUGAGAUGGUCGUGCAGGGAAAUUUGGGCUGCUGAGGUUUCUGGAAGUUGGGAAAGGGAGGAUGCUUCGUUGGGUUUCAGAGUUAGAGCUCAGCGAAGUGGUGCUUGGGGCAUAAAGAGGCAGCUUCAGCAAGAUCCUUUCUUGGGUAACAGGAAAAUAUCCAGGGCUCAAUGACGACAAGCUGAAAGGGUCUGCACGCAUGUGCAUUUCACUACCCUAACCUCCAGAGGGUUAGAGCAGUGAUAUGCUUAAUCCUGGGUGUUUGGCCAACUCUCAACUUUGUUAGGCAGUUCCCCAGAGGAGGAACAAAGCUGCUCACAGAUGUACAGGUCUGAGCCGCUGGCUGUGCUCCAGAAACUGCUCCUCUCUGCUGCUGGAGAAGGAUGCUCAGGAAAGCUGUGCUUGUGCUGAUCCAGGCACAUCCCCUGGAGGGAUUAAUGCUCGGCUCACCUGACCUGGCACAGGCAGAGAAAGGGAAUUGCUGCUCUUCCCUGGGGACUGCCAGCAGGCUCUCUGUUGGCUUCAGGCAUGGACAGGGGGAAAGCUGGGAGCCUUCUGGUGUCAUCCUGUGCUCCUGGGCAAGCUGGGGUUCUGUCAGGCUCCUGAGCAAGGUCUCAGGUCCCCCUCCACCCCCUGCCCUGGCACACAGCGCAGCCAAGCUGCAGAGAUACGGGGAUGGACACAGGCAGGAGGGAAACAGAGCUGGAGCAUCUUUGCCUUGCGUGUGCUUCAUUAGGAGGCAUCCCAUCACCAUCCUGUCCACUGUCCCACUCAGCAUCCCUUCA